rnacentral:tRNA from 1 species
CCUUCGAUAGCUCAGUUGGUAGAGCGGUGGACUGUAGUUGGCCAAAAACAAAUCAGAAAUCCAUAGGUCGCUGGUUCAAAUCCGGCUCGAAGGA